UACAGAGGGUGCGAGCGUUAAUCGGAAUUACUGGGCGUAAAGGGUGCGUAGGCGGUAGAUUAAGUUAGAUGUGAAAUCCCUGGGCUUAACCUGGGAAUGGCAUUUAAGACUGGUUAACUAGAGUAGAGUAGAGGGAAGUGGAAUUUCCGGUGUAGCGGUGAAAUGCGUAGAUAUCGGAAGGAACACCUGUGGCGAAAGCGGCUCACUGGACCAUUACUGACGCUGAGGCACGAAAGCUAGGGGAGCAAACAGG
rnacentral:rRNA from 1 species